AACGAACGCUGGCGGCAUGCCUAACACAUGCAAGUCGAACGAGACCUUCGGGUCUAGUGGCGCACGGGUGCGUAACGCGUGGGAACCUGCCCUUAGGUUCGGAAUAACUCCCCGAAAGGGGUCCUAAUACCGGAUAAUGUCUUCGGACCAAAGAUUUAUCGCCUUUGGAUGGGCCCGCGUUGGAUUAGCUAGUUGGUAGGGUAAAAGCCUACCAAGGCGACGAUCCAUAGCUGGUCUGAGAGGAUGAUCAGCCACACUGGGACUGAGACACGGCCCAGACUCCUACGGGAGGCAGCAGUGGGGAAUAUUGGACAAGGGGCGAAAGCCUGAUCCAGCAAUGCCGGGUGAGUGAUGAAGGCCUUAGGGUUGUAAAGCUCUUUUACCCGGGAUGAUAAUGACAGUACCGGGAGAAUAAGCUCCGGCUAACUACGUG
rnacentral:rRNA from 1 species